rnacentral:rRNA from 1 species
GACGAACGCGGCGGCGUGCCUAAUACAUGCAAGUAGAACGCUGAAGAGAGGAGCUUGCUCUUCUUGGAUGAGUUGCGAACGGGUGAGUAACGCGUAGGUAACCUGCCUUGUAGCGGGGGAUAACUAUUGGAAACGAUAGCUAAUACCGCAUAACAAUGGAUGACACAUGCCAUUUAUUUGAAAGGGGCAAUUGCUCCACUACAAGAUGGACCUGCGUUGUAUUAGCUAGUAGGUGAGGUAAUGGCUCACCUAGGCGACGAUACAUAGCCGACCUGAGAGGGUGAUCGGCCACACUGGGACUGAGACACGGCCCAGACUCCUACGGGAGGCAGCAGUAGGGAAUCUUCGGCAAUGGGGGCAACCCUGACCGAGCAACGCCGCGUGAGUGAAGAAGGUUUUCGGAUCGUAAAGCUCUGUUGUAAGUCAAGAACGGGUGUGAGAGUGGAAAGUUCACACUGUGACGGUAGCUUACCAGAAAGGGACGGCUAACUACGUGCCAGCAGCCGCGGUAAUACGUAGGUCCCGAGCGUUGUCCGGAUUUAUUGGGCGUAAAGCGAGCGCAGGCGGUUUGAUAAGUCUGAAGUUAAAGGCUGUGGCUCAACCAUAGUUCGCUUUGGAAACUGUCAAACUUGAGUGCAGAAGGGGAGAGUGGAAUUCCAUGUGUAGCGGUGAAAUGCGUAGAUAUAUGGAGGAACACCGGUGGCGAAAGCGGCUCUCUGGUCUGUAACUGACGCUGAGGCUCGAAAGCGUGGGGAGCGAACAGG